AAAACCCUGGAAUGAGUAGGUGUGUCCAAACUAUAUUAUAUUUCACUAAAACCUUUCUCGGAUGGCCCAACCUCUUUCCCUCUUGGGUGUAUAGUCAAUAUUGGACCUGACCUCAACUUCCCCCAAAAUACUGUGCUGCAGGAUGACACACACACUAAUGUAGUCAUUCACAGCAAACAACGUUGGUAGAGCCUUUUUAAAUCGUAUUUUUUGCCUAGAUCAGUUAUUUUGUGUGUUCUUAUUAGGUUUUCUUGGUUUUGUUUUUCCAGGUUUCGGAUUUCCCCCCAAAAUGUCUGUGUUCAUAACAAUGCUUAAACCACAUCAGGGGAUGACUUUUGAGGUCUUGGAAAAAUCUAAGAAACUGUGUAAUUGCCCUUUAAUUCAGUGAGCAUGCCCUGCACUGUUGUUUUGUUAGCAGGUUUUCUGGAGUGCAGUUAGCACACAUGUGAUGUGAUUCAGCUGCCAAUGGAAUGGGGGGAGUAAUCAAAAGCCCACUUGUGCGGCCACUGGACAGCAAAAAACGAGCUGGAACCAACAUGGAGUACCUCCAGUAGGAAGAGAGGCAAGAACCAUUUGUCUGACAACUCAGGGACAAGCUACACUAUUCACAGCAAUUACAUUGUAAUGUUCAAUGUAAUUGCAUUGCUGGACUUUUUGAAGCUUCAAGUAUUUGUACUGCUUAAAAUUUUUACAAAUGUAUGGUUUAAACAGGUGUUUUAUGUUUAUUUGUUUUAGCUAUUAGUGAUAAUUCCCAGUGUUAAUACAUUUUUGUUUACAUCAUUAAGCCUUUAUGUAUCUGUCAUGAUCAAAGGGGUCUGACUUUAUACUAAGCAGAGCCUCAUAGGAUACAAGGCAUUUAUGUAUGUGUUAUAAAUUACCAAGGGGUCUCACUUCAAACUAAGUAUUACAGGACAACAUAAAUAUGUUAUUAACCUUCUGCUGAUUUCUCUCAUGAUCCACAUAUUACUGUAAGGGUGAGAGGUAUUUAUAUGGGUUGAUGGACCUGCAAAGCUUGCGUUUGUGUGUGUGAGAACCAAGAUGAUUUGGAGUAGUCCAACCUGAGACUGCCACACCAGGUAUUCCUCUUCUGUUCCCAUGGAGACCAGGGCUUGAUUACAUCCGGUUACAAUGGCAACAGCAUUUUGUAGCUGAUCGUUCAGUGGGGGAGUGGGUGAAUGUGUCAAAGACCUGACUAGGCCCAGCACUGCGCGGUAUGACUCAUUUUUGCUGGGUG
rnacentral:lncRNA from 1 species